rfam:Oxalobacteraceae bacterium IMCC9480 ctg_215, whole genome shotgun sequence.
GGCGGGCCCCUGCGCAUUGUGGCAUGGCCAACCUGGUCAGGUCGGGAACGAAGCAGCCACAGUCAUUAUCCAUAAGUGCCGUAGACAAGGCUCGCCUUC